AGAGAGAGAGAGAGAUGAUAAUGGUAAAAAUAAAUGGAAAUAGUCCGUUUCGAGGAAUAAUUAAGUAAAGAGAGUACUUAUUAAGAAGCGCAAGAGGCGCAGUAUUUUUACGGCGGAUUAUUAUCAAGUGGCAUGCCCCAUUGACUCAUUCCAUCAAAUCAGCGGUACAUGAUACAUUUGGCAAAUUUGAUGCACAAGUAAAUUUUACUGAGAUAAUAAUAAUAAUAAUAAUAAUAAUAAUAAUAAUAAUUAAAAAAGAAAGGAAGAGAAAACUGUAAGUCCUACCAAACUGCUGUAAGUGGACUCGCAGGUAAACUCUUUUACAUUCUUAAGGUUUGCUCAAUUGAACCUAUAAGUUAUAUGAUUAAUUAAAUGUCUAGAGAUUUGCACACAUUUUGAACCUUUUCUGUCUGUGCAUGAGAAUGCAUAUUCACUUGAUUUUCAUAGCACGUCAAAUUGAUUAAAACUUUGAAAGUUAUGGAAGCUGUAAAAAUAAAAAAUUAAAUAAAAUAUGAUAUGGGGAAAACAUAUAGCAACGGACAUCCUGUGACAGGGUGCUCAUAUGUUGAUCCUAAUAUCAUGUUUAUGCGUGUGAAUUAUGGGGAAGGAUGUUUGAAUCAAUAUGAUGUAUGGGUUAAAGAAUGUGCUUUCCCAGAAAAAGGUAGUUUUAGCCUCAGACAGUUAGAACAACUGAAACUUAAUUUGGAGACAAAGGAGAGAGAGAGAGACCCCUAAAACAAAGAGCAAAGUGCAGUUUUUGGCUGACUGGAAGGCAUUUGCUGAAUCGGCAGAGCGAGGCACUUAAAAGAAAGAAAAAAUGUCAGGCAGGGCCCUCAUCUGUUUCUCAGUGUGCUAAAUUGCAGAAAGCUGAUCCCGAUCUGCACUCCGCCCCACCGUGACGCCCACAGCCAGUAAGGAGGGAGGAACCUUCAGUUUCAGAGGCACCUCCUCAUGAUGAAGCGGCCCAGCCUACCCCACUCCAUCCGAACCUGUCAGAACUGAGCCACCAACCCCCACCGAACUACACUCCAGCCGUCCUAGCUUCACCGUUGGCGUUACACAUGAGAUCCCAAGUGAAGGGACCAACAACAUUGCUGCCUGAGGGCUUCAGACCAACAAAAUCAGACAGAGAAGGGACAGUGCAUGCCGUGGUAAAUGCCCCAAUGCUAGAAGUGGCCAAAGAAGGAGGCCCUAUGCUAGUUCACAGACCCUGGACAUUGGAAGACAUCAGGAGCAGCAUGACGCAUCUGCUGGCGCUCCACAAAGUAGGAAGACAAAUGUUUGGGGAUGAACUUCAGAUAUGCAAACUCAGGCUUGGAGAAACCUGACAGCAUGGGAGGCACAUCUCAGAAACAGCUUUAUGAAUGGCAUUAAACCAGAAAUUGCCGCUAUAAUCAAACAACAAUGUAUCACCUGUGACACCGGAAAUCUCAUACAAGUGGAGAGGUAUGCAAUCCAUGCGCGAAGCUCCUACGAGAGGCAAAGGAAAGAAAGAUGGAGAGGAGAGGAAGACCAAAAGCACGCAGACGAGGACGACCCAGCCGUCAGAGCUAUGGACCAACAUUAAACUGUUAAACUGCGGAAAAGUUGGACUUUGCAGGAGACUGUCUAGAGCAGAAGCGAACUGAAGGCCGGAGCUAAGGGAAGGGUGAGGCACCUGGGAACAGAAGAGGUGACAUCAGACACCCAAACUAUCAGUUAGCUCACAAAGAACAGGAAUAUAUGCACAGACCCACAUCCGACAUUAGUCAGACUGACAAUUCACAAAUGUCUGAACCAGUCAUGACCCUUAACCUUUUAAAUUAUAAUGUCUCUCCUUUUACACAGUUACCAUGUAUAGCUCUUGUAGUUAAUGGGCAAAGUGUCACAAUUUUGGUAGAUUCAGGAGCAACGUAUUCAGUAAUAAAACACUGCGAAUUAAAAGAAUCCCCGAAAACGAGUUCACGGUAACUGCACUCCAUGGGUGUAACAGGACAUUCAGUAUUAGACCUAAUUUCAUCUUCAUGUCCAGUCAAUCUACUGGGCAGGGACUCAAUGUGUGUUUUACACUUAAAUUUUAUGUCCACACCCCAGGGAGUAACAAUAACUGAUGACUCAUCUUUGGGGACUCAAUUUGUUAAAGAAACAGAGCGCUGUGUUUAUCAAUGGUCCAUGCAUAACAAGCCUAGGGCCUGUGCUCGUUUGUUGACAUUGGCACAUGAUAAGAUGAAGGACACCUAUGUUGAUUUUAUGCUGUCCUCUGUCCUCCAUUGCACAGCGCAAGUGCAUGAAGGAAAAGACUUUAAUUUUGAGAAAGAAUGGUUUAUAGCUAUACCAAAAAGUGAAGAGCUGUAACUAUAUUGGGUGACACUCAGUUGCAUGCAUUUUUCAUCCUAGAAUCAGCGCCCCACGUGUCAUUAGCCAAAAUAGAGAACAAACAGUAGAAAAACAUGGGACCGUGGGUCAGAUUAUGUGAGAGUGGGAAAAUUACAAAUUGGGAACAGAAACCCACCUCCAACAUGUGGUACAGCCCAACACUGGGAGUUUAUGAAAAAUUCUUUCAGGAAUUGUGCAAGGUUAACCAGGAUGUCAUUUGUCAUGAAAAGGGAAUUUUUCUGAACCUUGGGACAAGCCCUACACCCCUAGAAAUACACCCACAGUUGAAGAAGGUGCCUCUCAGGCUGUGGGCCCAAGAGAAACAUGACGUAGGCCUGAUUAAAAGUGCACCACCAGUCGUGAUCAUGCCCAAAUCUGACUUUAGUCCCAGACAAUCUCAAUACACUCUUAAAUCAGAAGCUAUUGAGGACAUUGGACCAGAUUUCAAUUCAUUAUUGAAGGCAGGGUUCAUUGUUCCCUGGACUGAUUUGUCAGUGUGCACUCAAAUAUUUCCAGUAAAGAAAGCAAGAAAACCCCCACAACCUGAUGAAUGGAGAUUUGUACAAGAUUUGCAAGCGGUUAAUGCAGCAGUCAAACAGAGAGCUCCAGACAUGCCAAAUUCUUACACUAUAUUAAGCCAGGUUCCAGCAAAUAGCGAAUGGUUUUCAGUCGUAGAUUUAGCUAAUGUGUUUUUUCAGUAUAUCUCUUGAUAAAGACAAUCAGUUUCGGUUUGCAUUCAUAUUUGACGGACGUCCUUACACUUUCACUCGCUUGUGUUAAGGGUAUUGAGAGUCACUAACAAUAUAUAACCAAAUGCUAAACGACAGCUUAGCACCUCUAGCACUUUCUCCAGGGCACAGUGUGAAACUGACACCAUUAAAUUGUUGCAGCAUCUUGCCUAAGAAGGCCACAAAGCCAGUCUCUCCAAAUUAUAGUAUGUACAAAAAGAAGUGAGAUUUCUUGGGUCAUGACAUUUCUGCAAAGGGAAAGAAACUCUUAGCUGACAAAGUAUCUGCAAUCCAGAAGAUUCCCAAGCCUCUGACGAAGAAACAAGUUCUCUCUUUCCUAGGUAUAUGUUCAUAUCGCAGAACUUUCAUUCUAAACUAUUCCAGUCUAGAAGCACCACUCAGAGAGAUGGCAUAUGCAACAGGUUGGACAGCUCAUUCUCAGGUAAGUUGGAUCCAGUCACUGCAGAGUUUCCCCCAUGUGUACAGUAGAGUGCAGUAGCAGCAGCUGAGAAAGCUGUGGUGUCAUCCACAAACCUGGUAGGUUACUUAGAAUUGAACCUCUUGGUUCCAUGUGAAGUGUUGUUACUCCUACUUGAACAGAAAACCUCACACCUUUCCACCCAAUGGUGGCUGCACCAUAACACUAUACUACUAAACAUGCUGAAUGUCACUAUAAAACGAUAUACUGUCCUUAACCCUGCUACUCUUCUUCCAACAGAGGGAGACGGGGAACCACAUGAUUGUGUUGUACUGACUAACGAACUCUGCUCUCCUAGAGUCGACCUGAAAGAUGUUCUAUUGGAAAACUCAGAUUUUAUCCUCUUUGUGGACGGGUCAGCGUCACGUGACCCAGAGACAGCAGGUAAAGGCAGCACUUCCAGCUCCAGCCACAGGUCCGCUGCAUGAUCUGCAGCCCGGAGAGUGGAUCGUGAUCAAGGACUUCCGCAGGACCAGGUGGAACAAACCAAGGUUGUCUGGGCCAUUCCAGGUUCUCUUUGUCACUCAUUCAGCAGUGAAAGUCAACCAGAGAUCCACAUGGAUGCGUGCAAGCCACUGCAGGAGAGUGCCAGAGCCAAGCAUUGAGCUGGAGAAGACGGGACUUCAACAGGAGGAUUAGAAAGUGAUUCUCUAUCAAGAGGCCUCAAGGAGGACAUAUAUACACACCCACACACAUGACACACUGCACUCAAACACACAUUCUCAUACCAGUUCUUGGUGGUUACACAACACAAGACACCAAGUUGUAUCUAGUAGCCUGCGAAAUCACGGACAUGUAGUUUUUGGAGAAAAUGUUGACAACACGGAAACUGUACUCUUAGGAGGACUGAACCUCAUUAGUACGUACUAUAUAGCCACGUGACCAGGACAGAGGUUAGACGACAUGAGUUUGCUACCGCACCUCUUACGCCCCAAAGCUCCCUGACCACAAACUACUGUAGCAGACUAGACACAAAUCAUUAGAUGUCGACCUGCACAUCGGGGGGGCGGGGUGGGAUAUUGGGUACACCCUUAGGCUGGAAAGAUAAACCAAAGCGCGAUAUUGAAGUUUAUUGGGUGGAACACUUAAUGAUCAAUCAUGGCAAUCAUAUCGUUGCAGCAGAAAGAAUGCACGACACACACAUUUUUACCAAAAUUUGGUAUUUAGCUGAUCAUGGUGACGGGACUAAGUGCCUAAGGCAUCGUGAUUUCUAUAGGUCCCACAUAAGCCCGCAAAGUUCUUUAGUAGACUAUUGCUGCAGAUUGGACAACAAUUAGUAGUUAAAAGACCAUGUGCCAAGAUAUUAGCCGCCUCUGUAAACCGUUCUGUAUCACCUUUGGUCAUAAGAAUCAUUGCCGACAGUGCUACCCACACAACGUCACAAGUCCCCUCGUCAUGCAGUUACAUAAUGGUUAUUCUAUCAUUGAACACAUGCGGUCUGCAAAACGCAACCCUCCACAGACUAGCGAGAUGGGGUUUGAUUGACUGAACUUAGUAUUCGGGGGAUGGGGCUCGUGGAUAUUAACCGUCUAUCUACCAAUAGGUGCAAUAAUUCUUCUUGUCUUGCUCAUUUUGCCUUGUAUUGUUUCUCUCAUUCGGAGCAGUCUCUCACGCUCAUUGAAAUCACUAAUGACCAAAUGCUGAUGUUGACAAAGACUGAUUACUAUCCCUGUGAUGAUCAACCAGACUUGUAUCCUAAACCUGACUGGGUAUCAGAUUCUCCCAGUGACACUGACGAUGAUGACCCAUUGGCAUCCAUUUCACACCUAUUGUAAAUAUUCCUUUGACCAUGACGAUUCUCAUUUCACCCUAAAUGAGCUUGCUUGACUACAGGAUACUUUAUAUCCACAAAAACAGCCUGAGCACCUUCAUUAUAUUUGUUUUAUGAUGAAGUCAGUUGAACCAUGAAAGGAUUCUGAAGUUCUGAUGUACUCACAGCAAUGUAAUUUCUCUGUUAAUUUUAGUUAUCAUAUUUUAUAAUGAUAAAAUGGAGGAAAUUACUAAUUUUUACUUUGUAUUAAGUUUGUUCUUGUUCAUGUUCAUCUGACGAUAACGCCUAAGAAGGCCAUGUCAUGUCACUGAGAUCAGUACAGAAUGUUUAUCUGCUUACAGAGACACAAAAAAAAAAAAUGUUCUUCUGUUCAAGGUUCGUCUGUCCAAGAUCCUAAAACAAAGCCUGUUUGAUCUACCUCAAACUGCUUCUUAUCGGUACACAGAACCAUGUCAUACUCUGCGUUUCAUAUAUAUAGUAGUGGUUUAGUACGAGGGCUUCAGAGCGCUCUCAUUACUCUAUCCUGCUUUAUUUUAUCCUGUAUUAACCAUCUUUCUGUAAUAAACCUUUUUACCUUCA